GGGGAGCCUAUUUUGGCGAAGUACCUGAUUCCACACUGUCAAGAAAAGCCUCUAUGGAGAAUGUUGGUGCCCGUACCGCAAACCGACACAGGUAGGUGAGGAGAGAAUCCUAAGACCAUCGGAAGAAUUGCUGUUAAGGAACUAGGCAAAUUGACCCCGUAACUUCGGGAGAAGGGGUGCCUGCUUCACGGCAGGCCGCAGUGAAUAGGCCCAAGCAACUGUUUAUCAAAAACACAGGUCUCUGCUAAAGCGAAAGCUGAUGUAUAGGGGCUGACGCCUGCCCGGUGCUGGAAGGUUAAAGGGAUCUGUUAGCGUAAGCGAAGCGGUGAACUUAAGCCCCAGUGAACGGCGGCCGUAACUAUAACGGUCCUAAGGUAGCGAAAUUCCUUGUCGGGUAAGUUCCGACCCGCACGAAUGGCGUAAUGACUUGGGCACUGUCUCAACAGCAAAUCCGGCGAAAUUGUAGUGCAAGUGAAGAUGCUUGCUACCCGCGAUAGGACGGAAAGACCCCGUAGAGCUUUACUGUAGCUUAACAUUGAAUUUCGGUAUUGUCUGUACAGGAUAGGUGGGAGACUUGGAAGCAGGAGCGUCAGUUUCUGUGGAGUCACCCUUGGGAUACCACCCUGAUAGUACUGAAAUUCUAACGGAAAGCCUUGAAACAGGUUGCCGGACAUUGUUAGGUGGGCAGUUUGACUGGGGCGGUCGCCUCCUAAAAAGUAACGGAGGCGCCCAAAGGUUCCCUCAGCGCGGUCGGAAAUCGCGCGUAGAGUGUAAAGGCAUAAGGGAGCCUGACUGCGACACAUACAGGUGGAGCAGGGACGAAAGUCGGGCUUAGUGAUCCGGUGGUUCCUCGUGGGAGGGCCAUCGCUCAACGGAUAAAAGCUACCUCGGGGAUAACAGGCUGAUCUCCCCCAAGAGUCCACAUCGACGGGGAGGUUUGGCACCUCGAUGUCGGCUCGUCGCAUCCUGGGGCUGGAGUAGGUCCCAAGGGUUGGGCUGUUCGCCCAUUAAAGCGGCACGCGAGCUGGGUUCAGAACGUCGUGAGACAGUUCGGUCCCUAUCCGUCGCGGGCGUAGGAAAUUUGAAGGGAGCUGUCCUUAGUACGAGAGGACCGGGAUGGACUGACCUCUGGUGCACCAGUUGUCACGCCAGUGGCACAGCUGGGUAGCUAAGUCAGGAAGGGAUAAACGCUGAAAGCAUCUAAGCGUGAAGCCCACCCUAAGAUGAGAUUUCCCAUGACGUAAGUCAAUAAGAUCCCUUGAAGAACACAAGGUUGAUAGGUCAGAGGUGUAAGUGCAGCAAUGUAUUUAGCUGACUGAUACUAAUAGAUCGAAGGCUUGAUCAAAA
rnacentral:rRNA from 1 species